UAAAUUUAAUUUUAAUAGCUUUCUAAUUUCUAACUUAAUUUUAGUCUUAAUUUUAUUUAACCCAACUGCAUUUAGUCAUUCUUAACCCUGCACUGAAUAAAAAGAGUAAGCUUUGUACCUAUUCUUUUUAUGUAUAAAGCACAGAUAAACAUACAGUAUAUAAAACAUAUGUAGUAUAUCUGUGGUAUUAAAAUUCCAUAGGGAAUGAGUAGGAAAAAGAAUGUCUACAAAGGCUCCAAGAAGGGGAAGAGAGUAAAAAGAAAAAAUGGUUGAGCUUUCUGACUUGGGCCCGGCAGAAUGGCUCCCGCAAAAAAGGGUGGCGAGAAGAAGAAGGGCUGUUCUGCUACCAACGAAGUGGUGACCCGAAAAUACACCAUCAACAUUCAUAAGCGCAUCCAUGGAGUGGGCUUCAAGAAGCGUGCUCCUUGGGCACUCAAAGAGAUCCGGAAAUUUGCCAUGAAGGAGAUGGGAACUCCAGAUGUGCACAUCGAUACCAGGCUCAACAAAGCUGUCUGGGCCAAAGGAAUAAGGAAUGUCCCAUACAGGAUUCGUGUGAGGUUGUCCAGGAAACGUAAUGAGGAUGAAGAUUCACCAAACAAGCUCUAUACUUUGGUUACCUGUGUACCUGUUACCGCUUUCAAAAAUCUACAGUCAACGUGGAUGAGAACUAACCACUGAUUGUCAAAUAUAUCAAAUAAAGUUAAAAAACCA